UACAGAGGUCUCAAGCGUUGUUCGGAUUCAUUGGGCGUAAAGGGUGCGUAGGCGGCGCCGUAAGUCAGAUGUGAAAUCUUCGGGCUCAACCCGGAAACUGCAUUUGAUACUGCGGUGCUUGAGGACUGGAGAGGAGAUCGGAAUUCACGGUGUAGCAGUGAAAUGCGUAGAUAUCGUGAGGAAGACCAGUGGCGAAGGCGGAUCUCUGGACAGUUCCUGACGCUGAGGCACGAAGGCCAGGGGAGCAAACGGG
rnacentral:rRNA from 1 species